rnacentral:tRNA from 2 species
CAAAGAAUAGUUUAGCAUUAGAAUCCUAGCUUUGGGAGCUAGGGGUGGGGGUUAAAGUCCCCCUUCUUUGA